ACGGCCAUACCAUGCUGAAUAUACCGGUUCUCGUUAGAUCACCGAAGUCAAGCAUCAUUGGGCGCGGUCAGUACUUGGUAACCUGGGAACACCGCGUGCCGUU